AAACAAAUAUGGUGACUUGAAUCUUCACAAAAACACCAACACAGCAUAAAGAUAUUAUGUGUUGAAAGUGACCUAAUGUAACUUUAGAUCACUGUAUAAAGCAUUGGCUUUGUUUCUGUUUUAGCGACAGUUGAUCCUUCCACCUUUGCCGGAAGAGCACUUGCCUUUACAGUGGAUAUGCUAUGUGCGUACUGCAAGGCUAGAAACAACUAUAGAUGUCUUGUACAGUAUGGUUGUCAGAGGUAGACGAUAUACUGGCUUAUCUUAAAAUAUUUUGUAAAUAGUUCGUUAAUCGUAGAUACAAUUUAUCAAAAUUUUGCGACUUUGUUAUUAUUUGUACGUAGUGUGCCGUCGUGAUAAUGAUAUGUAAAGGUGGAUCGGGAAAGCUGUGUGGCUAAUCGGAUAAAUAUCCUCCUAUAGGUUCCAAGAAUCUCGAGAAGACAUACACGACAGGUCAUCGAAUUGUAGUCAACAAAGACCAAAACCCAUGCAUUAUAUUUAGCUAUGAAGCCAAUGGCCUAUUAUGUGUUCGGCUUUUUAAUUAUCAUCUGCUUGUUCAGUUUGGAUUAUGA
rnacentral:lncRNA from 1 species